rnacentral:rRNA from 1 species
ACACGUCUACAUUAGAUACCCCCGUAGUCCCAGCCGUAAACUAUGCGCGUUAGGUGUAUCGGUGACCACGAGUCACCGAGGUGCCGAAGGGAAACCGUGAAACGUGCCGCCUGGGAAGUACGGUCGCAAGGCUGAAACUUAAAGGAAUUGGCGGGGGAGCACCACAACAGGUGGAGCCUGCGGUUUAAUUGGACUCAACGCCGGGAAGCUCACCGGAUAGGACAGCAGAAUGAUUGCCGGGCUGAAGACUCUGCAUGACUAGCUG